AUACGGAGGGUGCAAGCGUUGUUCGGAAUCACUGGGCGUAAAGGGCGCGCAGGCGGUUUGGUAAGUCACAUGUGAAAGCCCACGGCUCAACCGUGGAAGUGCAUUUGAAACUGUCAGACUUGAGUACUAGAGGGGAAAGUGGAAUUCCCGGUGUAGAGGUGAAUUUCGUAGAUAUCGGGAGGAAUACCGGUGGCGAAGGCGACUUUCUGGCUAGAUACUGACGCUGAGGCGCGAAAGCGUGGGGAGCAAACAGGAUUAGAAACCCCAGUAGUCC
rnacentral:rRNA from 1 species